rnacentral:rRNA from 1 species
AGUCGAGCGAGCUGAACCAACAGAUUCACUUCGGUGAUGACGUUGGGNAACGCUAGCGGCGGAUGGGUGAGUAACACGUGGGGAACCUGCCCCAUAGUCUGGGAUACCACUUGGAAACAGGUGCUAAUACCGGAUAAGAAAGCAGAUCGCAUGAUCAGCUUAUAAAAGGCGGCGUAAGCUGUCGCUAUGGAAUGGCCCCGCGGUGCAUUAGCUAGUUGGUAGGGUAACGGCCUACCAAGGCAAUGAUGCAUAGCCGAGUUGAGAGACUGAUCGGCCACAUUGGGACUGAGACACGGCCCAAACUCCUACGGGAGGCAGCNGUAGGGAAUCUUCCACAAUGGACGAAAGUCUGAUGGAGCAACGCCGCGUGAGUGAAGAAGGUUUUCGGAUCGUAAAGCUCUGUUGUUGGUGAAGAAGGAUAGAGGUAGUAACUGGCCUUUAUUUGACGGUAAUCAACCAGAAAGUCACGGCUAACUACGUGCCAGCAGCCGCGGUAAUACGUAGGUGGCAAGCGUUGUCCGGAUUUAUUGGGCGUAAAGCGAGCGCAGGCGGAAGAAUAAGUCUGAUGUGAAAGCCCUCGGCUUAACCGAGGAACUGCAUCGGAAACUGUUUUUCUUGAGUGCAGAAGAGGAGAGUGGAACUCCAUGUGUAGCGGUGGAAUGCGUAGAUAUAUGGAAGAACACCAGUGGCGAAGGCGGCUCUCUGGUCUGCAACUGACGC